rnacentral:pre_miRNA from 1 species
UCUUAUGGAUGAGCAAAGAAAGCGGUUUCUUGACAUGGAACCUACUCUUGGUGAAUGCUGUGAA